GACGAACGCUGGCGGCGUGCUUAACACAUGCAAGUCGAACGGAAAGGCCCUGCUUUUGUGGGGUGCUCGAGUGGCGAACGGGUGAGUAACACGUGAGUAACCUGCCCUUGACUUUGGGAUAACUUCAGGAAACUGGGGCUCAUACCGGAUAGGAGCUCCUGCUGCAUGGUGGGGGUUGGAAAGUUUCGGCGGUUGGGGCUGGAUUCGCGGCUUAUCAGCUUGUUGGUGGAGUAGUGGCUUACCAAGGCUUUGACGGGUAGCCGGCCUGAGAGGGUGACCGGCCACAUUGGUACUGAGAUACGGACCAGACUCCUACGGGAGGCAGCAGUGGGGAACAUUGCGCAAUGGGCGGAAGCCUGAGGCAGCAACGCUGCGUGCGUGAUGACGUCCUUCGGGUUGUAAACCGCUUUCGCCUGUGACGAAGCGUGAGUGACGGUAAUGGGUAAAGAAGCACCGGCUAACUACGUG
rnacentral:rRNA from 1 species